UUUGCUGCUGCACCAAGGUCACAGACAAGGAACAAACUCAGCCUUACCUGGAAGUCAGUGGCAAAGCAUAAAGAGUCUGGACCUAGCCUAAACAAGGGUAAAGAGGUAGUAAUUACCUUCACAGCUGAGACAAAUCAUUUCCCUCUUCCUGGUGCCUCCAGCCAGCUUUACCUUGCAGAAUAGAAAGUGAAUAUACAGUACCUAGGAGAAGAAGUCACAGUGACUCCUCUUUCUGCUAGGGUAAGUCAGUAAAAUAAUCUCAAAAAAAUCUUUUUUAGUAGGCUGGGAAAAUGUGAUACC
rnacentral:lncRNA from 1 species